UUUUCAGAGCCAAGACUCAUCUCUUUUUGGAUUUUCUAAUGCCCUUCAUAGCAACAUCUUAAUAUAUUUAUAUUUGCCUGGCAUAUAUUUUUUAAUGGGAAGGAAACUGUAAAGUUUAUUUUUAACUAACUGGUUGAAUGCAAAAAAUAGACUUUGCCCUUGGAUAGUCCUUGUUUGUAGUGUGGGUAUCAGGAGAAUGAGGCAAGCCAAGCUGUGAGGAGUCUGUGGGUCAUGGUUUUGGCAGCGUGGAACCUGGGACAUAGAGUCCCCCUUGAUACGGCUGUUCGGCAGACCAACUUUGUUGUAAAUAUUUAGAUAAAAAUGGGCUUUAGAGCAGCCACAUCUGAAGACCCACAAGGCUGAAUGUUACACAGGGGGAGCACCACUAUUUAAUCUGAACAUCUGGAAUCCAUCAUGUGUAGUGAAGGACAAGAUGUAUCCUCAUUUUUAAGCCAACUCCAUGAUAAAACUGAUGGAUGGGACCAAUGUGUACAGGUAGCUCAGAGGUUGAUGCUAAGACAAAAACCAACAGAGGGCUUAGAGUGCCCAUCCUGAGUGUGCUGGAAUACGUAUAACUAGGGAGUGCUGUAUGCCUUCAAACAACUAUCUUAUAAUAUCUUCAAAGCUAAGCCUGAAAAUGAGGUAAAACCCCAAACAAAAGACUUGAUGGUGGAAGCAGAAGAUAUCUCCUGAGAUCAUUGAAAAAGGCUAACAACCAUGACAAUUAUCUCCUGGAUGUCCAUUUGUUCACAUCUUACUUCAUGCACAUGAUAGUCAGAUUGUGCACACUUGACAGAUCAUUCCAGAAGAGGCCACCUUGCCAACAAAGAGUCCCUCGGGAAUAUUCAGCCCUUAAAUCUUCACUGGGGUACGAAUGCCUCAAGAUUUAGCAUUAGUCAUUCUCAACCAUGUAUUUGAAGAGGACUACUUAUUCUGACAGCAUGCUCUAAUUGAAGACACUGAAGUUGAAUUAAAAAUAUAAAGGACCAACAAUUCCCUUUGGGUACUUAACAAGUCCUAAAUGGUAGAAAAGUAACCAACAGAGAAUUUAUAAUUCUGUUCAUAUGUUACUCUCUGGGGGAUUAUACAUUAUUAAAACUUAUUGAAAGGGCAGCCUUGUGUUUUUCCUUCUUCACUUAGCCUGUUUUCUCUUUGCACUUCUCUCAGUGAGCCUAUA
ensembl:lincRNA